AUUGAACGCUGGCGGAAUGCUUUACACAUGCAAGUCGAACGGCAGCACGGGGGCAACCCUGGUGGCGAGUGGCGAACGGGUGAGUAAUACAUCGGAACGUGCCCAGUCGUGGGGGAUAACUACGCGAAAGCGUAGCUAAUACCGCAUACGAACUCAGGUUGAAAGCGGGGGAUCGCAAGACCUCGCGCGAUUGGAGCGGCCGAUGGCAGAUUAGGUAGUUGGUGGGGUAAAGGCUCACCAAGCCGACGAUCUGUAGCUGGUCUGAGAGGACGACCAGCCACACUGGGACUGAGACACGGCCCAGACUCCUCCGGGAGGCAGCAGUGGGGAAUUUUGGACAAUGGGCGCAAGCCUGAUCCAGCCAUUCCGCGUGCAGGAUGAAGGCCCUCGGGUUGUAAACUGCUUUUGUACGGAACGAAACGCGCCGGGUUAAUACCCUGGCGUAAUGACGGUACCGUAAGAAUAAGCACCGGCUAACUACGUGCCAGCCGCCGCCGUAAUAC
rnacentral:rRNA from 1 species